rnacentral:rRNA from 1 species
GGCGGCGUGCUUAACACAUGCAAGUCGAACGAGNUCCAACCUUCGGGUGAAGACCGAGUGGCGAACGGGUGAGUAACACGUGGGGAACCUGCCCUUCUCUCUGGGAUAACUCCGGGAAACCGGAGCUAAUACCGGAUACUCCUUGCGGACCGCAUGGUCUGCUCGGGAAAGCUCCGGCGGAGAAGGAUGGCCCCGCGGCCCAUUAGCUUGUUGGUGGGGUAACGGCCCACCAAGGCGACGAUGGGUAGCCGAGCUGAGAGGCUGAUCGGCCACACUGGGACUGAGACACGGCCCAGACUCCUACGGGAGGCAGCAGUGGGGAAUCUUGCGCAAUGGGCGAAAGCCUGACGCAGCAACGCCGCGUGCGGGAUGAAGGCUCUCGGGUCGUAAACCGCUUUCAGCAGGGAUGAAAAUGACAGUACCUGCAGAAGAAGCCCCGGCUAAAUACGUGCCAGCAGCCGCGGUAAUACGUAUGGGGCAAGCGUUAUCCGGAUUCAUUGGGCGUAAAGCGCGCGUAGGCGGCUUGUUAAGUCAGGCGUGAAAUCCGGGGGCUCAACCCGCGGCUUGCGUCUGAAACUGGCAGGCUUGAGUCUGGUAGAGGAAAGUGGAAUUCCUGGUGUAGCGGUGAAAUGCGCAGAUAUCAGGAGGAACACCAGUGGCGAAGGCGGCUUUCUGGGCCACGACUGACGCUGAGGCGCGAAAGCUAGGGGAGCGAACAGGAUUAGAUACCCUGGUAGUCCUAGCCGUAAACGAUGGGCACUAGGUGUGGGGGGUCAUCGACUCCCUCCGUGCCGAAGCUAACGCAUUAAGUGCCCCGCCUGGGGAGUACGGCCGCAAGGCUAAAACU